UUGUAGGUGACUGAAAUUCUGACGCUGGCCGAGGCCAUCAUGGCGGUACAAGACGAACGACAAGAAAUGAGCCACUUCUUCACCGACAGCAACCGGUCAGGGGACGGCAACAUACACAAGCUGCUGCAAGUGUUCACAUCAACGAACGGCCACCUGGAGAGUCUACCGCCGUCUCUCCUCGCGGAUGGCCUGCGAAUGACGUUAUACCAUUUGCGAGAGGACGCCAGGAGCAGUACGUA